UACAGAGGGUGCAAGCGUUAAUCGGAAUUACUGGGCGUAAAGCGCGCGUAGGUGGUUUGUUAAGUUGGAUGUGAAAUCCCCGGGCUUAACCUGGGAACUGCAGUCGAGACUGUCUAGCUAGAGUAUGGGAGAGGGAAGUGGAAUUUCAGGUGUAGCGGUGAAAUGCGUAGAUAUCUGAAGGAACAUCAGUGGCGAAAGCGACUUCCUGGACCAAUACUGACGCUCAUGUGCGAAAGCGUGGGGAGCAAACAGG
rnacentral:rRNA from 1 species